UAAAGCUUUCCAAUUUCAACAGUUAAAAUAAGUAAUACUUAUCUUAGUAACACAUAUUAAAACUAUCAAAAAUAAUUAAACGGCCUUAUUACAUUUAAAAACCCAAAACCUCAAACGUAAAUAAAAGGAUAUCCAGUUCACCAGAAGAAAAUCAAACUUUCAGAACAGGUGGCCACUCCGAAUUCCCUCACAGCUCCAAACCCACUAUGGUUGGGGAUUACCUGCGUGGAUGAAAAUAAAAGGGGUGAGUUUGGGGAAACUCAGUGUGUAAAUUAACCCAACCAUAGCCUAUAUCAGCUCAAACCACAGAAACAGAAUAAGUUGGCCUUAGCCCAGAACAGAAAUUCAGAAUAAAGCCCAUAGGCCAUAACAGAUCAGAACAGAUAUUACAUGUUUAUGCAAAAACCCAACCCAGAUUCAUCCAUAACACCC
rnacentral:lncRNA from 1 species